CAGAUGGAUGUGAGUGGAGCUAGGUGGAGCUAAGCAGAACGAAAUUCAUCUGGCGAGAGUCAGGUUAGGGAAUAUAUACUUAUUUUUCUAAUAUUUGCUUAUAACAACACAUUUUUUCACUUUUUUUUCACCGUUAUUAUACCUUACCGACCUUGUUAUAAGUGAAAAUCUUCUUGUUCUGUUGGCAAAUCUUGCAAGUGAAAGUUUCUUGUAUUACCUUAAAAUAAGGUAGUACAAGAACAAUAAAACAAGAUUUUCACUUAGUACAAGGCAAAGAAAACUUAAAUCAAGUGCAAAAAUGUAUUGUAAUAAGCUAAAAUACGUACAUAUUCACUUGAUUUAAGCUUAUUUAUCUCACUUAGAUUUUGAAUUCUAGGAUUUUUUGCAGUGAUUUCUUGAUAGUGUUCUGCAAAAAGGCAUGUACUGUAUCUCCCCUUGUGCUGUUAAAAUUCAUUUAAAAAAAAAUAUGUGUAUACUUUGUUUGAGAUUUGGUAGCCUUUGUGCAGACAAGCAUCUCUUUUGUAGGUUCUUUGACACAAGGAUAUUCUGUGUUCUGUAGUGGAAUGCAUUUGAUGCCCUUUUCACCUCGACUUUUCUCUUGCUUGUUCACAGACAAGCUGUGGCUGUGACAGCCACAUGGCCAAGUCUCCUAAAAGAUAGGGAAGUUCCCAUAGGUUUUAUGCUCCAUUACAGUAAGACACUCAAGUAGGCUCUGUAAAUAUGCACCUAUAGUGAAUUCUAUGAUUUAGUGACAACUGGUUUUCCAGCCUCUCCUCAGAUUUAUGGGUGUUUAUAUAGCUGCAGUUUGUGUGUAGGGUUGUGCACAAGGUAUUAAAUUAGCAAAAUGAUUUUGCUUACUAAUUAAAUCAACUUGAGCCUUAACCCUCAUGCACCUUCAGGCUUCAGCGAACAUUGUCUGCUGUGUUAAGAAUGCAUAAAAAUAAUUAUUUAGAAAAGAAAACUAACAAAUACAUUAAAAAACAAAUAAUAUGGGGUUUGAUGUUUGCUUUUAAAAGAGGGUUUUGUAUUUUCAAAAAACAUCAAAAAACACACAGCAAUAAUCAGUAUCAUGUUGAGUUUUUUUUUAAUAAUGUCACAAUUUCUUGUAAAUACUGACUAUGAUUCAUAAUGUAAUGUCAUAGUAUUAUGCCAUGAGCUGACUUGUAUACAAUAUUAAUAAAGGCUACUGAACUGUU